rnacentral:tRNA from 1 species
UCCCUGGUGGUCCAGGAGCUAAGACUCCACACUUCCAAUGCAGAGGGCCCAGGUCUGAUCCCUGGCCCGGGAA